UACGUAGGGUGCGAGCGUUAAUCGGAAUUACUGGGCGUAAAGCGUGCGCAGGCGGUUUUGCAAGCCGGAUGUGAAAUCCCCGGGCUCAACCUAGGAAUGGCAUUUGGGACUGCAAGGCUCGAGUGCGGCAGAGGAGACUGGAAUUCCUGGUGUAGCAGUGAAAUGCGUAGAUAUCAGGAGGAAUACCGAUGGCGAAGGCAGGUCUCUGGGCUGACACUGACGCUCAUGCACGAAAGCGUGGGGAGCAAACAGG
rnacentral:rRNA from 1 species